GACGAACGCUGGCGGCGUGCUUAACACAUGCAAGUCGAACGGAAAGGCCCUGCUUUUGUGGGGUGCUCGAGUGGCGAACGGGUGAGUAACACGUGAGUAACCUGCCCUUGACUUUGGGAUAACUUCAGGAAACUGGGGCUAAUACCGGAUAGGAGCUCCUGCUGCAUGGUGGGGGUUGGAAAGUUUCGGCGGUUGGGGAUGGACUCGCGGCUUAUCAGCUUGUUGGUGGGGUAGUGGCUUACCAAGGCUUUGACGGGUAGCCGGCCUGAGAGGGUGACCGGCCACAUUGGGACUGAGAUACGGCCCAGACUCCUACGGGAGGCAGCAGUGGGGAAUAUUGCACAAUGGGCGGAAGCCUGAUGCAGCGACGCCGCGUGCGGGAUGACGGCCUUCGGGUUGUAAACCGCUUUCGCCUGUGACGAAGCGUGAGUGACGGUAAUGGGUAAAGAAGCACCGGCUAACUACGUGCCAGCAGCCGCGGUGAUACGUAGGGUGCGAGCGUUGUCCGGAUUUAUUGGGCGUAAAGGGCUCGUAGGUGGUUGAUCGCGUCGGAAGUGUAAUCUUGGGGCUUAACCCUGAGCGUGCUUUCGAUACGGGUUGACUUGAGGAAGGUAGGGGAGAAUGGAAUUCCUGGUGGAGCGGUGGAAUGCGCAGAUAUCAGGAGGAACACCAGUGGCGAAGGCGGUUCUCUGGGCCUUUCCUGACGCUGAGGAGCGAAAGCGUGGGGAGCGAACAGGCUUAGAUACCCUGGUAGUCCACGCUGUAAACGGUGGGUACUAGGUGUGGGGUCCAUUCCACGGGUUCCGUGCCGUAGCUAACGCUUUAAGUACCCCGCCUGGGGAGUACGGCCGCAAGGCUAAAACUCAAAGGAAUUGACGGGGCCCCGCACAAGCGGCGGAGCAUGCGGAUUAAUUCGAUGCAACGCGUAGAACCUUACCUGGGUUUGACAUGGAUCGGGAGCGCUCAGAGAUGGGUGUGCCUCUUUUGGGGUCGGUUCACAGGUGGUGCAUGGCUGUCGUCAGCUCGUGUCGUGAGAUGUUGGGUUAAGUCCCGCAACGAGCGCAACCCUUGUUCACUGUUGCCAGCACGUUAUGGUGGGGACUCAGUGGAGACCGCCGGGGUCAACUCGGAGGAAGGUGGGGAUGACGUCAAGUCAUCAUGCCCCUUAUGUCCAGGGCUUCACGCAUGCUACAAUGGCUGGUACAGAGAGUGGCGAGCCUGUGAGGGUGAGCGAAUCUCGGAAAGCCGGUCUCAGUUCGGAUUGGGGUCUGCAACUCGACCUCAUGAAGUCGGAGUCGCUAGUAAUCGCAGAUCAGCAACGCUGCGGUGAAUGCGUUCCCGGGGCU
rnacentral:rRNA from 1 species